GCUGUUCUGGGCAGCCCGUGAAAACCCACAAAACGUCGCGCCUGUGUACAUAAAAAUUUAAUGGGCGCCUGCCUGCCGCUUCUGCCAGAGACCCACCUUCCUUCUCAACGGCCCCCCGUCUAACCUCAAAAAUGCCCGUCUGCCUUCCAGUGAAUUCUGCUUCACCUCUGGCCCCAAAAGAGAUUUCUGAAUUUCUGAAUUUCUGGUAAUCGGAGCCGUUCGAGGAUAUCCUACUGUGUACGCCCCAGAAUUUGGAUAGAGGAUCGGGAAUCGAGGAUCGGGGAUCACGGGGACGCUCCUUCCGCUUGGCUAAAGCGUGUCUGCAACAUAUGGUUCCCGCUGACUCCCUGGCAGCCCGUCUGCAGCUGUAAAAAGUCUGGCUCUGGCUGCACUUUGCAUUUCUCGACCAUUUUUUGCGCCUCCUGUUCUUUUUUCGGGUGUAGCACGUGCUUCAAUGCACAUGACACCAAAUCAGAAUCAGAUUUUUUGGACCAGGGCUCUGGACAGGAAGUGAAGGAGU